GAUGAAGAACGCAGCGAAAUGCGAUAAGUAAUGUGAAUUGCAGAAUUCAGUGAAUCAUCGAAUCUUUGAACGCACAUUGCGCCCGCUAGUAUUCUGGCGGGCAUGCCUGUCCGAGCGUCAUUUCAACCCUCAAGCCCCCGGGCUUGGUGUUGGGGAUCGGCGAGCCUCCGCGCCCGCCGUCCCCUAAAUCUAGUGGCGGUCUCGCUGUAGCUUCCUCUGCGUAGUAGCACACCUCGCACUGGGAAACAGCGCGGCCACGCCGUUAAACCCCCAACUUCUGAACGUUUGACCUCGGAUCAGGUAGGAAUACCCGCUGAACUUAAGCACAUCAAUAAGCGGAGGA
rnacentral:misc_RNA from 1 species